GUCUAUGGCCAUGCCACCCUUAAUGUGCCUGAUCUUGUCUCAUCUCAGAAGCUAAGCAGGGUUGGGCCUGGUUAGUACUUGGAUGGGAGACCACCUAGGAAUACCAGGUGCUGCAGGCA
rnacentral:rRNA from 1 species